GACGAACGCUGGCGGCGUGCCUAAUACAUGCAAGUCGAGCGGAGCUGCGCAGUUCCUUCGGGAAUGGCGCAGCUUAGCGGCGAACGGGUGAGUAACACGUAGGCAACCUGCCCGCAAGACCGGGAUAACUCGCGGAAACGUGAGCUAAUACCGGAUAAUCGGUUUCUCCGCAUGGAGGGAUCGUGAAAGGCGCUUUGGCGUCACUUGCGGAUGGGCCUGCGGCGCAUUAGCUAGUUGGCGGGGUAACGGCCCACCAAGGCGACGAUGCGUAGCCGGCCUGAGAGGGUGAACGGCCACACUGGGACUGAGACACGGCCCAGACUCCUACGGGAGGCAGCAGUAGGGAAUCUUCGGCAAUGGACGGAAGUCUGACCGAGCAACGCCGCGUGAGUGAGGAAGGCCUUCGGGUCGUAAAGCUCUGUUGCCAGGGAAGAACGCCGAGGGGAGGGAAUGCCCCUUGGGUGACGGUACCUGAGAAGAAAGCCCCGGCUAACUACGUGCCAGCAGCCGCGGUAAUACGUAGGGGGCAAGCGUUGUCCGGAAUUAUUGGGCGUAAAGCGCGCGCAGGCGGUACAUUAAGUCUUGUGUUUAACUCCAGGGCUCGACCCUGGCACGCAUGGGAAACUGGUGUACUGGAGUGCAGGAGAGGAAAGCGGAAUUCCACGUGUAGCGGUGAAAUGCGUAGAGAUGUGGAGGAACACCAGUGGCGAAGGCGGCUUUCUGGCCUGCAACUGACGCUGAGGCGCG
rnacentral:rRNA from 1 species